CAGCCGCCACGGUAAUACGUAGGGUGCAAGCGUUAAUCGGAAUUACUGGGCGUAAAGCGUGCGCAGGCGGCUUCUUAAGUCGGAUGUGAAAUCCCUGAGCUUAACUUAGGAAUUGCAUUCGAUACUGGGAAGCUAGAGUAUGGGAGAGGAUGGUAGAAUUCCAGGUGUAGCGGUGAAAUGCGUAGAGAUCUGGAGGAAUACCGAUGGCGAAGGCAGCCAUCUGGCCUAAUACUGACGCUGAGGUACGAAAGCAUGGGGAGCAAACAGGAUUAGAUACCCCUGUAGUCCCUGUCUCUUAUAC
rnacentral:rRNA from 1 species